rnacentral:rRNA from 1 species
GCAGCCGCCACGGUAAUACGUAGGGUGCGAGCGUUAAUCGGAAUUACUGGGCGUAAAGCGUGCGCAGGCGGUUUUGUAAGACAGGCGUGAAAUCCCCGGGCUCAACCUGGGAACUGCAUUUGAGACUGUAUGGCUAGAGUGUGUCAGAGGGGGGUAGAAUUCCACGUGUAGCAGUGAAAUGCGUAGAUAUGUGGAGGAAUACCGAUGGCGAAGGCAGCCCCCUGGGAUAACACUGACGCUCAUGCACGAAAGCGUGGGGAGCAAACAGGAUUAGAUACCCCAGUAGUCCCUGUCUCUUAUAU